ACGCUGGCGGUGCGCCUUAUGCAUGCAAGUUGAGCGAAGCUUUUUGGUAGUUUACUACUAGAAAUGACUGAGCGGCGAACGGGUGAGUAACGCGUGAGCAAUCUACCUUAGUUACUGGGAUAGCCCGAGGAAACUCGGAUUAAUACCGGAUAUUCUUAUUUUUUCACAUGAAGUUUUAAGGAAAGGUCAGCCGAACUAAGAUGAGCUCGCGUUCUAUCAGCUAGUUGGUGGGGUAAAAGCCUACCAAGGCUACGACGGAUAGCUGGUCUGAGAGGACGAUCAGCCACACUGGGACUGAGACACGGCCCAGACUCCUACGGGAGGCUGCAGCAGGGAAUAUUGUGCAAUGAGCGAAAGCUUGACACAGCGACACCGCGUGUGGGAUGACGGUUCUAGGAUUGUAAACCACUUUCAGGAGGGAAGAAAAUGACGGUACCUCCACAAGAAGACCCGGC
rnacentral:rRNA from 1 species